rnacentral:RNase_P_RNA from 1 species
AGAGUUGGUCAGACAGUCGCCGCCGCGUUUCGCGGGGGAGGAAAGUCCGGACUCCACAGGGCAGGGUGAUGGCUAACGGCCAUCCGUGGCAACACGAGGAACAGGGCAACAGAGAACAGACCGCCGAUGGCCCGCUGGCGCAAGCCGGCGGGAUCAGGUAAGGGUGAAACGGUGCGGUAAGAGCGCACCGCGGGUCGCGGCGACGCGCCUGGCACGGUAACCUCCACCCGGAGCAAUUCCAAAUAGGCAGACACGCCAUCCUCGCGAUGGCAGGGCGGGGCCCCCGUCGCGUCUGCGGGUAGGAAGCUCGAGCAUGCCAGCAAUGGUACGCCUAGACGAAUGACUGUCACGUGCGGCAACGCAUGCACAGAAUCCGGCUUAUCGACCGGCUCCACGC